rnacentral:rRNA from 1 species
CCUACGGGUGGCAGCAGUGAGGAAUAUUGGUCAAUGGGCGAGAGCCUGAACCAGCCAAGUCGCGUGAGGGAGUACUGCCCUAUGGGUUGUAAACCUCUUUUGUCGGGGAGCAAAAUCCGGACGUUUUCGGCUGUUACAUUACCCGUAUAAAAAGCAUCGGCUAACGCCGUUCCAGCCGCCGCGGUAAUUCGGGGGAUGCGAGCGUUAUCCGGAUUUAUUGGGUUUAAAGGGUGCGCAGGCGGAUUUUUUAGUCCGCGGUCAAAUCGUGGGGCUAAACCCCAUCCAGCCGUUGAAACUGGGGAUCUAGAGUGUGCGAGAGGUAGGCGGAAUGCGUGGUGUAGCGGUGAAAUGCAUAGAUAUCACGCAGAACCCCGAUUGCGAAGGCAGCAUGCCGGAGCACAACUGACGCUCAGGCACGAAAGCGUGGGUAUCGAACAGGAUUAGAUACCCCUGUAGUC